rnacentral:lncRNA from 1 species
CGAGAUUGUGUCAUGGCACUCCAGCCUGGGUGACAAAGCGAGACACCAUCUAAAAAAAAAUAUAUGUAUAAAACUGUCCUUGAGGGCCGUCGUUCACCCUCCUCCACCUUGUCCCCUGCACUGGGAGGCAACCACAACAGGCACGGCCCAUGCUCCUGCACCACCUGGCUUCUGCUUGGGUGUGGAUGAUAACAGGCACCUGCAGGAGAUGGGAGCAUGCGGGGAGAAGUAACUCAGGGUUUUCAUUUCCCUCACUCCCUCUGGACAGCUCUGUGGUUCCGUAAUCAUUGCCGUCCUCUACCUACAGCCACAGGCAUGUGGGUCUGCCCCUAGUGAAAGCUACAGAUUUCCUUGGGUUCUGGAAACUGCUCCCUUCGUUGCUCUUUCAAGCUUCAAGAUGAAAACAGUUUCCUGCCAGGAAUAAUCCCAGGGAGCUUCAGCGCCCUUUGUGGCUUUCUUAGCCCUGCCGGCACCUGUGUAGAAGGUGCCAUCUCAGGCCAGCGCGGUGGCUCAAACGUGUAAUCUCAGCACCUUGAGAGGCUGAGGCCAGAGGAUCACC